rnacentral:rRNA from 1 species
AGAGUUUGAUCCUGGCUCAGGAUGAACGCUAGCGGCAGGCCUAACACAUGCAAGUCGAACGGUAAGGUCCCGAGUAAUCGGGAUACACGAGUGGCGCACGGGUGAGUAACGCGUAUGCGACCUACCCUUAACCGGGGGAUAGCCCGGAGAAAUUCGGAUUAAUACCCCAUAAUAUUGUGAUACUGCAUGGUAUUACACUUAAAACUCUGGUGGUUAAGGAUGGGCAUGCGUGACAUUAGCUAGUUGGUGAGGUAAGGGCUCACCAAGGCGACGAUGUCUAGGGGGCCUGAGAGGGUGAUCCCCCACACUGGUACUGAGACACGGACCAGACUCCUACGGGAGGCAGCAGUGAGGAAUAUUGCGCAAUGGACGAAAGUCUGACGCAGCCAUGCCGCGUGCAGGAUGACGGCCCUACGGGUUGUAAACUGCUUUUUUACAGGAAGAACUUCCCGCACGUGUGCGGACUGACGGUACUGUAUGAAUAAGCAUCGGCUAACUCCGUGCCAGCAGCCGCGGUAAUAC